rnacentral:tRNA from 1 species
GGGGCCAUAGCUCAGUUGGGAGAGCGCUUGAAUGGCAUUCAAGAGGUCGUCGGUUCGAUCCCGUCUGGCUCCACCA